rnacentral:rRNA from 1 species
UGGGGAAUAUUGGACAAUGGGCGCAAGCCUGAUCCAGCCACGCCGCGUGAGUGAUGAAGGCCUUCGGGUCGUAAAGCUCUGUGGGGAGGGACGAACAAACCGCCGAAGAGGCGGGACUGACGGUACCUCCUUAGCAAGCACCGGCUAACUUCGUGCCAGCAGCCGCGGUAAUACGAAGGGUGCAAACGUUGCUCGGAAUCAUUGGGCGUAAAGCGCACGUAGGCGGCCUGUUAAGUCGGAUGUGAAAUCCCUCGGCUCAACCGAGGACGUGCAUUCGAAACUGGCAAGCUCGAGUAUGGAAGAGGGUCGCGGAAUUCCCGGUGUAGAGGUGAAAUUCGUAGAUAUCGGGAGGAACACCAGUGGCGAAGGCGGCGACCUGGGCCAAUACUGACGCUGAGGUGCGAAAGCGUGGGGAGCAAACAGG